rnacentral:rRNA from 1 species
CAGCAGCCGCGGUAAUACGUAGGUGGCAAGCGUUGUCCGGAAUUAUUGGGCGUAAAGGGCUCGCAGGCGGUUUCUUAAGUCUGAUGUGAAAGCCCCCGGCUCAACCGGGGAGGGUCAUUGGAAACUGGGAAACUUGAGUGCAGAAGAGGAGAGUGGAAUUCCACGUGUAGCGGUGAAAUGCGUAGAGAUGUGGAGGAACACCAGUGGCGAAGGCGACUCUCUGGUCUGUAACUGACGCUGAGGAGCGAAAGCGUGGGGAGCGAACAGGAUUAGAUACCCGUGUAGUCCCUGUCUUUAUACC